GUGCCGGUGGAGUAGAAGUUAACUCGUUUCCCUCCCAUUCAAGUUUCUUGAAAAGGAAGAAAGGAAAGAACCCGGGUGCAAGUCCCGGCCGGCGCA